GCACCGCGAUGACCUCACAGCGGCGUCAACGGCGGCACUUCCCAGUAGGUUAGCGGGUAGACCACACCAUGUAUCGCUGGUGUGAAGGACGCCAUCUCUCCGCCCCGCUGUGGUACACCUUCUCACCUUUCCCCGCGUGGUCUUACCUUGAGCCAGCGCCGUGUUGGGUAGACCGCGACCAAUACAGGUGACCACCCCUCCCGCCACCACCACCUCCACUCCCACGCAGCCGCCCGCCAGCACCAGCAUCCAUCCAACGUCCUGUAGGAGGAGGUAGAAGAAGAAGAAGAAGAAGAAGAAGAAGAAGAAGAAGAAGAAGAAG